rnacentral:rRNA from 1 species
GACAGAGGGGGCAAGCGUUGCUCGGAAUUACUGGGCGUAAAGGGCGCGUAGGCGGGAUGGCAAGUCGGUCGUGAAAUCCCUGGGCUCAACUCAGGGGGGUCGGCCGAUACUGCCAUUCUUGAGGGAUGCAGAGGAGACUGGAAUUCCCGGUGUAGCGGUGAAAUGUGUAGAGAUCGGGAGGAACACCGGUGGCGAAGGCGGGUCUCUGGGCAUUCCCUGACGCUGAGGCGCGAAAGCGUGGGGAACAAACGGG